rnacentral:lncRNA from 1 species
AUAUUUUUGAGGCCCCUCAUGGGGGGGGUCCUAGUAAUCACAUAAUCACCAUUUUUUUGCCAAUAUAAUCACAUAAUCAUUAAAUAUUUGCUUAUCUUUAGUAAUCAAAUAAUCAUAAACUAAAAAUACAGUCCUAGGUAAUCAAAUAAUCAUGAAAUAUUUGGCUUAAUAAUCAAAUAAUCAUUAAAAAAAACGGCCAAGUAAUCACAUAAUCAAAAACCCCAUGAGGGCCCUCAUUUUUGCA